GACGAACGCUGGCGGCGUGCCUAAUCCAUGCAAGUAGGACGCAGUUGCGAACGGGUGAGUAACGCGUAGGUAACUACCUAUUAGAGGGGGCUAACUAUUGGAAACGAUAGCUAAUACCGCAUACUAGUAGAUGGCACUGCGUUGUAUUAGCUAGUAGGUGAGGUAAAGGCUCACCAAGGCGACGAUACAUAGCCGACCGUAGAAGGGGAUCGGCCACACUGGGACUGAGGCACUGGCCAGACUCCUACGGGAGGAAGCAGGAGGGAAUCUGCGGCAAGUGACGGAAGUCUGACCGAGCAACUCCGCGGGAGUGAAGAAGGUUUUCGGAUCGGAAAGCUCUGUUGUUAGGGAAGCGGUAACUAACCAGAAAGGGACGGCUAACUACGGGCCAGCAGCCGCGGUAAUUC
rnacentral:rRNA from 1 species